CCUACGGGAGGCAGCAGUAAGGAAUCUUGCGCAAUGGGCGAAAGCCUGACGCAGCGACGCCGCGUGGGCGAUGAAGGCCUUCGGGUUGUAAAGUCCUUUUCUGUGGGAAGAUCGUGACGGUACCACAGGAAUAAGCAUCGGCUAACUACGUGCCAGCAGCCGCGGUAAUACGUAGGAUGCAAGCGUUGUCCGGAUUUAUUGGGCGUAAAGAGUGCGUAGGCGGCUUCUUAAGUGGGGCGUGAAAUCCCCCGGCUAAACCGGGGGGGGUCGUCCUAAACGGGGGGGCUUGAGGGUAGAAGAAGAGAGCGAAAUUCCCGGUGUAGUGGUAAAAUGCGUAGAUAUCGGGAGGAACCCCUGGGGCGACGGCGGCUCUCUAGGCUAUUCCUGACGCUGAGGCACGAAAGCGUGGGGAGCGAACGAAUUUAGAUCCCCUAGUAUU
rnacentral:rRNA from 1 species